GAAUUCAUGAUGAACUACGUCUACAGGACAUGAUGAAGUAAAUAAAGCUCAGUGUUUGAGUACUCUGAAGUCU